GCGGCUGCCGGGAGCCGAUAAGUGGCGGGAGCGGGAGCGCGCGCGUGGCUGCGGCGACGACGACGGCUCCUUCCUUCUCGCUCUAGCUGCCCUCGCCGUUGGUGCUUCCAUCAUGAAUGGAUUGUUGGAUCCGCUCCGCAGGGGGUCGCGCGUGGGAGCCGCAGGCCGGGGCUUCCCCCUCCCCCUCACGGACUCCUGCUUACCCCCAGACGCCCGGAGCCCGAGGACUCACCCGGCGGCGGAGACCUGAGUGGGCUCCCUCUGCCCCCGCGAAGCCUGCACGGCCGCCGGUGAAUCAAAAAGGGUCCCAGGAAACCUGUGAAUGUUGAAGAAAAUUCGUCUGUGAAUUUUUGGUAUUCAAGGAGGAGUCAGUAUUUAUAUUCAUCUUUUAAACUGGGAAGAUUUAUAUUUUAUUUUAAAACGUCUUGAUAUUUACAAUGAAUGGACACAGUGAUGAAGAAAGUGUUAGAAACAGUAGUGGAGAAUCAAGCCCCUUCAGGAUGCAGACCUGAAAAUGAGGCUCAGAGCGGCAGUGACUUACCAAAUAUCACACAUCUGGGACCUAGAGAAGUUCUGACUGGUAUUCUAUGUGAUGUCCUACUCCUUGUACUUCAUCCAUCUCUAAGUGUGUGCAUUAGACACAUGUGACACCAGCCCACAGGUGUUAUAUAAAGCUUUAGGAAUCUCUCAAAUCCCAUUGAUAAGAGACAGGAUGUCUCCCCUGGAUUAUCCACUGAUUGGAUUAUCCACUCCCUUCCUCCAUAAAAGGAGAAUCAGAGGCAGAACUCACUGCAUUUUCCAGCAAUCCACUGGCUGUCUGCACAUCAGGAGUGGGGUCAGCAGGACAACUCUGCAGCCAUGGAGGAACCUGCAUCGGCCUGUUUUCCAAGCCAGCCUAUUCUGGGGAAGCUCAAAAGAAAUAUGAUGCCACAGACUUCAGAGAAGAAAAGACAGGUCCAUUUAGCCAAGACCAAGCAGAGACAUCGUGAAAGGUCUGCACUUCCUAUAAUACUCACCAGCUGCAUUUUUAAGAGGCCAGCUACAAGGAAGACUUCCUACCCUGGCACUGAGGUCAGGUACAGUCAACGGGAGAAGACCUUGCAGAAGUCCCAGUAAGUCUGCGCACACAGGAGACUGCAGGGACUCCAGGCCUGCAACAGUUAAGGAGAACUUUUAAGUACUUUUGAUAUCACAAAUACCUUAAAUAUAAUUGCACCAGGUGGUCCAGGUGAAUCCCUGGGCUGUGCUUGUGCUGGGUCUCGAAACCCCAGCCUCAAUCCCACGGCCACACAGUCUUCAGACUGGGCAGAGACGAUCCCAGGAGUGGGUCUCGGUCUCCUCCAGCAACUCUACAGACAGCCCGUAACUUAUGGGGACAUCUGCAGACAGAGUCAGAAAGUGAAAAAAGCAAGGGAGAGAGGGGCUGAGGCCCUGAGGGCAGCCAGGUUUGCCAGGGAGGCAGAGAGAGCAAGGAGCCAAGAACGAUGUUCUGAUACCUGAUGGAAAAUACGAGAAGGUCAUGCUGAAGAAGCCAAGAAGUGUGGCCCUGGGGAAGUGGUUCCCCAUGAACAGCUCCCAGUUUCACUCGCCUCAUUUAAUGUCAACCCCACUUCUUGCUCUGGACUGUGAUGCUUUGUCAUUUUAUAAUUGUACUUCAUUAAACUCUUUUGAGAGACAUAAAUGUGAAGAGUAGACAGUUGUGUGAGUGAAAGAUCGGGUUUCAUGUGACAGGAAAGAAGAUCUUUACUUGUCAUUGUAUACUGCAAUUUCUGCUUACCAUGAUACUUAUUCACUUUUAUAUUAAAGGUAAUUUGGCUAAGGGUUCACUUAGUGUUUUUAGUUAUAUAUUUUUUUAGAAUAAGUGCACUCACGAAAAGAUGAUACUUAAUGUAAAGAGAUUAUUUUUUAACUUUAAACUAAUUUGAUUCUAUAAAG